UCCCUGGAGGACUAAUGGUUAGGCCACCGUGCUCUCACCGCUGGAGCCUGGGUUCGAUUCCCGGCCAGGGAA